rnacentral:rRNA from 1 species
ACAAUGAAGAGUUUGAUCCUGGCUCAGGAUGAACGCUAGCGAUAGGCUUAACACAUGCAAGUCGAGGGGCAGCAUUAAUCAAGCUUGCUUGAUUAGAUGGCGACCGGCGCACGGGUGCGUAACACGUAUGCAACCUACCCAUAAAAGCAGGAUAACCCGGAGAAAUUCGGACUAAUACUGCAUGGUCUUCGUAAGAGGCAUCUUUUAUGGAGUAAAGAUUAAUCGAUUAUGGAUGGGCAUGCGCAUGAUUAGCUAGUUGGUGAGGUAACGGCUCACCAAGGCGACGAUCAUUAGGGGUUCUGAGAGGAAGGUCCCCCACAUUGGUACUGAGACACGGACCAAACUCCUACGGGAGGCAGUAGUGAGGAAUAUUGGUCAAUGGGCGAGAGCCUGAACCAGCCAAGUCGCGUGAAGGACUACGGCCUUAUGGGUCUUAAACUUCUUUUGUAUAGGGGUAAAGGUAUGUACGUGUACAUAUUUGCAAGUACUAUACGAAUAAGGAUCGGCUAACUCCGUGCCAGCAGCCGCGGUAAUACGGAGGAUCCGAGCGUUAUCCGGAUUUAUUGGGUUUAAAGGGUGCGUAGGCGGGGCAUCAAGUCAGUGGUGAAAUGGUGUGGCU